rnacentral:lncRNA from 1 species
CUCCACAAAAUGACAAAAAUAACAACCCCCUAACUAAUCUUGUUUUAUCCUAAUAUUCUAACAACCCACCCAAUUAAAAAACAACACCUACCUACCCUAUCCUAACAAACUCUACCCCACCUCACCACUACCCCACCCUCACCUCAUAUAUACACACACAAAAGGAACACAGAAGAAGGGGGAUAUAUAUAAAAAAAAAGCAAGAGCCUCCUACCUCCCUCUCUCUCUACACACUUUCUUCUCUCUCUAUCUUCUCACUAAAAAUCCA